rnacentral:rRNA from 1 species
UACGUAGGGGGCUAGCGUUGCUCGGAAUCAUUGGGCGUAAAGCGCACGUAGGCGGCUUGUUAAGUCAGGGGUGAAAUCCUGGAGCUCAACUCCAGAACUGCCUUUGAUACUGGCGACCUUGAGUCCGGGAGAGGUGAGUGGAACUGCGAGUGUAGAGGUGAAAUUCGUAGAUAUUCGCAAGAACACCAGUGGCGAAGGCGGCUCACUGGCCCGGUACUGACGCUGAGGUGCGAAAGCGUGGGGAGCAAACAGG